GUGGGGAAUAUUGGACAAUGGGCGAAAGCCUGAUCCAGCCAUGCCGCGUGUGUGAGGAAGGUCUUCGGAUUGUAAAGCACUUUAAGUUGGGAGGAAGGGCAGUAAGUUAAUACCUUGCUGUUUUGACGUUACCGACAGAAUAAGCACCGGCUAACUUCGUGCCAGCAGCCGCGGUAAUACGAAGGGUGCAAGCGUUAAUCGGAAUUACUGGGCGUAAAGCGCGCGUAGGUGGUUUUGUAAGUUGGAGGUGAAAUCCCCGGGCUCAACCUGGGAACUGCCUCCAAAACUGCAUGACUAGAGUACGGUAGAGGGUAGUGGAAUUUCCUGUGUAGCGGUGAAAUGCGUAGAUAUAGGAAGGAACACCAGUGGCGAAGGCGACUACCUGGACUGAUACUGACACUGAGGUGCGAAAGCGUGGGGAGCAAACAGGAUUAGAAACCCCGGUAGUCC
rnacentral:rRNA from 1 species